AGUGGCGGACGGGUGAGUAACACGUAGGUAACCUGCCCCGGAGCGGGGGAUAACAUUUGGAAACAGAUGCUAAUACCGCAUAACAACAAAAGCUGCAUGGCUUUUGUUUGAAAGAUGGCUUUAGCUAUCACUCUGGGAUGGACCUGCGGUGCAUUAGCUAGUUGGUAAGGUAACGGCUUACCAAGGCGAUGAUGCAUAGCCGAGUUGAGAGACUGAUCGGCCACAAUGGAACUGAGACACGGUCCAUACUCCUACGGGAGGCAGCAGUAGGGAAUCUUCCACAAUGGGCGCAAGCCUGAUGGAGCAACACCGCGUGAGUGAAGAAGGGUUUCGGCUCGUAAAGCUCUGUUGUUGGAGAAGAACGUGCGUGAGAGUAACUGUUCACGCAGUGACGGUAUCCAACCAGAAAGUCACGGCUAACUACGUGCCAGCAGCCGCGGUAAUACGUAGGGGGCAAGCGUUAUCCGGAUUUACUGGGUGUAAAGGGAGCGUAGACGGCUUGAUAAGUCUGAAGUGAAAGGCCAAGGCUUAACCAUGGAACUGCUUUGGAAACUAUGAGGCUAGAGUGCUGGAGAGGUAAGCGGAAUUCCUAGUGUAGCGGUGAAAUGCGUAGAUAUUAGGAGGAACACCAGUGGCGAAGGCGGCUUACUGGACAGAACUGACGUUGAGGCUCGAAGCGUGGGGAGCAAACAGGAUUANAUACCCUGNUA
rnacentral:rRNA from 1 species